UACGUAGGUGGCAAGCGUUGUCCGGAUUUACUGGGCGUAAAGAGCGCGCAGGCGGUCGAUCAAGUCGAGUGUGAAAGCCCCCGGCUCAACUGGGGAGGGUCAUUCGAUACUGAUCGACUCGAAGGCAGGAGAGGGUGGUGGAAUUCCCGGUGUAGUGGUGAAAUGCGUAGAUAUCGGGAGGAACACCAGUGGCGAAGGCGACUACCUGGCCUGUUCUUGACGCUGAGGCGCGAAAGCUAGGGGAGCAAACGGG
rnacentral:rRNA from 1 species